GAUGGAACUCGCUUCCUGAGCUGACGACAGCCGCAGAAACCAGGCCGCUGCAACUGUUUAUUAAAAACAUAGCACUCUGCAAACACGAAAGUGGACGUAUAGGGUGUGAUGCCUGCCCGGUGCUGGAAGGUUAAUUGAUGGGGUUAGCGUAAGCGAAGCUCUUGAUCGAAGCCCCAGUAAACGGCGGCCGUAACUAUAACGGUCCUAAGGUAGCGAAAUUCCUUGUCGGGUAAGUUCCGACCUGCACGAAUGGCAUAAUGAUGGCGGCGCUGUCUCCAGCAGAGGCUCAGUGAAAUCGAAAUCGCUGUGAAGAUGCAGUGUACCCGCGGCUAGACGGAAAGACCCCGUGAACCUUUACUGCAGCUUGACACUGAACUUUGACCUUACUUGUGUAGGAUAGGUGGGAGGCUUUGAAGCUGGAACGCUAGUUCCAGUGGAGCCGUCCUUGAAAUACCACCCUGGUAAUGUUGAGGUUCUAACUCUGUCCCGUGAUCCGGGACGAGGACCGUGUCUGGUGGGUAGUUUGACUGGGGCGGUCUCCUCCUAAAGAGUAACGGAGGAGUACGAAGGUGCGCUCAGCGUGGUCGGAAAUCACGCGUAGAGUAUAAAGGCAAAAGCGCGCUUAACUGCGAGACCCACAAGUCGAGCAGGUACGAAAGUAGGUCUUAGUGAUCCGGUGGUUCUGUAUGGAAGGGCCAUCGCUCAACGGAUAAAAGGUACUCUGGGGAUAACAGGCUGAUACCGCCCAAGAGUUCAUAUCGACGGCGGUGUUUGGCACCUCGAUGUCGGCUCAUCUCAUCCUGGGGCUGAAGCAGGUCCCAAGGGUAUGGCUGUUCGCCAUUUAAAGAGGUACGCGAGCUGGGUUUAGAACGUCGUGAGACAGUUCGGUCCCUAUCUACCGUGGGCGCUGGAAAUUUGAGAGGAUCUGCUCCUAGUACGAGAGGACCAGAGUGGACGAACCUCUGGUGUACCGGUUGUGACGCCAGUCGCAUCGCCGGGUAGCUAUGUUCGGAAGGGAUAACCGCUGAAAGCAUCUAAGCGGGAAGCCUACCUCAAGAUAAGAUUUCCCUAGGACUUUAUGUCCUCUAAAGAGCCGUUCGAGACUAGGACGUUGAUAGGUUGGAUGUGGAAGCAUAGUGAUAUGUGAAGCUGACCAAUACUAAUUGCUCGUGAGGCUUGACUAUACAACACCCAAGCAGUUG
rnacentral:rRNA from 1 species